CACGCCGUAAACGAUGGAUACUAGGUGUAGGAGGUAUCGACCCCUUCUGUGCCGCAGUUAACACAAUAAGUAUCCCACCUGGGGAGUACGGCCGCAAGGUUGAAACUCAAAGGAAUUGACGGGGGCCCGCACAAGCAGUGGAGUAUGUGGUUUAAUUCGAAGCAACGCGAAGAACCUUACCAGGGCUUGACAUACCCCUGACCGCUCUAGAGAUAGAGCUUCUCUUCGGAGCAGGGGAUACAGGUGG
rnacentral:rRNA from 1 species